rnacentral:lncRNA from 1 species
GCCGCGAUUCAUUUACGAACUCCUUUACGCAUUUCUCAUUAUUCAUUUAUAAAUGACUUAAAUAAGCAUUUUAAACUCCAUUAAAAAGGAAUUGAUUUAAAACAUUUUAAUCCUUUUAAAAUCCAUACUCAUAAAGCCUUAACUCAUGCUCUAUCUCAUAUUCUAUCUCUUUACUCAACUUUAUAUAAACUCUCCACUCAUCUCAAAUCCUUAAGUUCAAGGAUAGGUUUCAAGAAAAUCAUGGUACUAAGUCUCGAUUUAUCUCUCAUAUAAGGCUCGUCUAAUCUCAUUCAACACAUAGACAACACAAUCACAUAAGGCACAUAAGAAAACACAAUCAAACAUUAUCAAAACAUGCUCUGUUUUUACACUGACUCAACUUCAAAAUCUAACCUGUUCUUACUCCGACACCUCCUGGACUCGAGACUCAUACCAAAAGAAAGGUCAUCGAGUCUAUUUUCAUAUAAAAAAAAGUAGAGUCAAAAACUCGAAGUAUUGUAGGAGAUAUGACUGUUUUACUACAGUCUACCAUAUUCGGCAGUUUUGAGCAAUCGAAAACUUGGAUUUUUGAAAAAUAGUAAAUGUUGUCAAACUGGGCUCACAUUUUGUGGAUAUCUAGCUAACACAAUAAGGUUAAUACCAUAAAAUUUUGGAAAGCUAGAUCACACAGGAAGCUACUGAAAUGAAUGACUCUUUCCCCUGCUCUCUGAAACUCUCGGUAGUAAUAUGCAGUUUCAGUUUUGUAUUUUAUAAAAAUAGUAAAUGAAGUCCAAAUGACUUGAAAUUUUACCGAUGUUCUCAAGACUCAUGUAGAGACUUGGUAUAAAAUUUUCAAAGCUUUUUGACAUUGAAAAACCGUCGAUCACAGUAGGUCAGUAGGCCUACGAAAUUCACCAAAAUCUCAUCUCAAACUCUUAAAAUACUCAACUCAACAUUCCUUCAAGGAAACUCAUCAAAGCUCAUUUUAAACACAUAUAACACUCACAAACAUUCA